rnacentral:lncRNA from 1 species
ACCCAUUCAAAACAUCCUAGAGACCCAGGGCAUCUAAAGGCAGUUUUGUGUAUGUCUUCUUCAGCUAUAUAAAUUUGAUUGUAUCCUGAAUACCCAUCCAUGAAAGAAUACAUGACAUGUCCGGCAGUCGAGUCUACUAAAGAAUCCACCGUGGGCAUUGGAUACUCAUCUUUGAGUGUAGCUAUGUUUAAAUUCCUAAAGUCUAUACAUAUCCUUAGUUUACCAUUCUUUUUUAGUACUGACACGAUAUUGAACAACCAUUCGACAUAUUUGGCUGUUCUUAUAAAACCUGCUUUCAAUAAUCGCUCUAUCUCUUUCUUGAUUUCAGUGAGUACAUUGCGAGCAAAACGUCUAGGAGGCUGCCUAUGAGGUUUAAAGUUAGGCUUAGUUGGUAACCUAUGUUCCACCAAGUCUCUAUCUAAACCAGGCAUUUGUUCAUAUUCUCAAGCAAAACAAUCUUUGUACUCUUUUAGCAAAGCGAUUAAUUUAUUACUAACCUCUUGAUUGAGCAUCUGGCUGAUGAAUAUUGGACGAUCUUCUCCUUCAUUGCCAAUGUUUACUUUGAUCAGAGGGUCUUGUGUUUGAGCGUAUCCAGGUUUGACGAUCCGCAUUACUUCGUCGUCCAGUUCCCUUGUAAGUACUUCUUCUUCUAAACAGUCCACCUUGUUGACUUCUCGGCCAAUGCUUUGUUCUAACUCGAAUACUGCCAACUUGUCCUUCAGCGCAUUUAGGGUUGUCUCUUCUUUCGCCUUGUCAUUGCAUUCCUUAUUGAAAGCCAUCAGUCUGGCUUUGAAGGCCUGAAUGUCGGCCAUUUGCUUUCGUAACUUAGAAUCUAUUCAAAACUCCUUGAUUAUUCUUUUGCCAAUUACUGGCUCUUCCAGGGCCAUUAUAUUUGGCCUCAUCUGUCUGAACAUUUCAGUGAAUGCGUCCACUGAAAAUGGCUUUUCGCUUUGCACGAUAACUUGAGUUUCUUCCCCAUCUUGUACCACCUUGACAGGUCCAUAGUUUCCUUCGUACAUGAACUUUUCUACCGAAUUUGCUUCUGCGACAAAAGGCCUAUGAUCGGCAUGUACCACCUCUGUUUCGCCUUUGUUAUUCCAAAAGAUCAAGCAUUGAUGGAGCGAUGAAGGUAUACAGCGACUCUCGUGUAUCCAAUCUCUUCCUAGUAGCACAUUGUAACUAGUAGGACCAUCUAUUACAAAGAAGACAGUAGUCCUAGUAGUCGUCCCUAUAGUUAUGUCCAAUGUCAUAACUCCCUUAGCUGAAGUUGCUCCUCCAUUGAAGCUCGUGAGGAUGACUUCUGUAGGAAUCAUGUCACCCUCUGUCUUUGCGAACUCCCUCAUCCUAGAUGGAAUGAUGUUUAUAGUUGCUCCAUUGUCGACAAACACUUUUUCCACCGGGACGCCGUUAACUAGAGCUUUAACGUAUAAUGGCCUCAAGUGUUUAGUCAAUUUCAUGGCUGGCCGUUUAAAAAUAACCUUUUCGACAGCCUCUAUUUCUACUUCCUGCUUGUUUUCUGUCGAAUUAUCCCCCUGUGAUAAGUCGACGUGCAGUAUAUCGCGCUGAUCCUCUGUCUCCUAAACUUCCUUCUUACUUUUUUCUAAUGCUUCCUCAUCAGUUACCCAACCUGUGGGAGGGGGCAUUAUUCUUGGAGGUGACCCAUACUUUUCAGAGCGAGGUACUCUCUUCUUCCUUUUGGGUGUCCCGUAUAGUACGUAGAAAUCGAAAGGACGCCGAGAUGGUUCUCCCAACAAGUCUACUUCGCGAACUCCUUCUCGAUGUAGUUGUUUCAACAGAGUAUUGCACGAUACUCCUCUCUUUCUUCCUUCUGCUUCUAGGUCGAUUUCUUCUUCAAUGUCUGUCAUCCCAUCGUCCUCUUCAUCAUUGUAGGCCUCUCUAGAAAUCUGGUCUUCUUCACAUACCAGCACGCAAGCUUCUCCUUCAUUGUCCUCCCUCUCUUCUUCUUUUUCUUUAUUCUUGAAUUCAUUGGCCAGUAAGUAAUUAUUGGCCACGAUAAGAGGUAACGUACCGAACUGGAUGGUAAGGGGCUGAUCUGGAUCUUCUCCAUCCCUUCUGUUCCGCUCAAACUUUGAUCUCCCAGAAGAAGUUUCUGGCAGUUCCUUCAUUGAUUCAUCUGUACCGGUAUCUUCACUAUCUUUGAGGAUAUUUUGAUUGGCUACCUUGAGUAGUUUAGGCGCUUUAGGAUGUGGCACUCCCUGUUGCUGCCUCAUCAUCCGUCCAUAGUUUCGUUGAAAAUGCUUUUGUUGGGUUCUAGUCAUCUCAUUGAAGGGUAUUGCCCUUCCUGCAUUAUACUAGAAUGAAUGACAUGCAUUUGGCUGGCGAGGUUGCGGCCUGAAUGUUCUUCCAUUAUCUGCUGGCCUGAACUGCCUCUCAAAAGGCGGUCCUCUAUAGAAUGAUGUACCUCGCCCUCUACCAGGCUGAGUGUUUGGGAAGAAGGUAGGACGAUGGGGAUGCUGCCAUAUCCCUGGUUUCUCCGUAUUGCCAUUCAUUUCUCUUUUACAUCUUGCACACAGGACGUCGUCGUCCUUUUUUGGUUCUUUCCCCUUGAUUCGUUCAAAGACACUGGGAUGUGGUUUAGAAUCCUCUUCUCGAUCAUCUACGACCAACUUGAAUUUUGGCAACUUAUUUUUGAAUCCAGACGUCACCAUGUUCACUCCAAGUGGCUGUGGAAAAGGAUUUUCAUCCACUGCCAUCUUCUUCUUAUUGUCGAACGUAAUUCGUCCUGAUUCAAUGGCAUUCUGCAAUACAUGGAAAAAACCAAGCAAUUGUUAGUCAAAUGUGACCAUGCAUUAUGCCACUUAUAAUAUUUUUUACCCUUAAUUUGUUCAGAGUUUGGCAAUUUGUAUUUAUCGCUCAACUUUAUCUGCUUAUCCCUAUAUAAUUUAUCAAAUAUAAGGUCAGCUUUGGUUACGUCGAACGAGAACGUUCUAGCCUUUAUGUUUCCAUCUUUUAUGGGCUCAUCUUUGCCCGAUGGUUUAGGCUUGGCCACUAUGGGACAAGUAUAUGUAUCUCCUUUGACCAAUUCGGCCAAACACAUUUCGGCCUGGUCGUAUGACUCGUCACUAAUGGUAUGAACAUCAAAAUUUGGGUCUUUGUAAUAAGUCCCUUUACUAGAAUUUUUCAUCUGUUCUUCCUCUCUUAUCAGUCGUUCAUACCUAAUCACAUUUGUACUCAACUGGAAAAGGGCAGGAAAUUCCUUGUCCUGGAAUUUCUUUUUUAAAUCAAAGCUCAAGCAGCCCUGGGCGAUUUUGACAAAAAAAAUUUCGGGCAGAGGUACAAAACACUUGCUUCUUGCUGUCUUGAACCUUUAGAGAAAACUUUCUGCCCAUUCGUUUGGCAUUUGACGUAGAUUCGCCAAAUCAGUCAAAGUAACUUUAGUCUCAGUUUUAUAAAACUGAGCGUGAAAUAACUGUUCCAAUUGUUGCCAUGUUUGAACAGAGUUCGCUGGCAAGUUGAUGAACCAGGAGAAAUCUACUCCUAUUAACGAACUAGGGAAAAACCUCAUUUUAUGGUAAUCGGUUACAUUACCACUUGCAAUGUGAAUCGCCCUAUGUGUUCUAGAGUAGACACCUCUCCUAAACCGGUAAACAGUGAGAAUUCUGGCACUUUGUACCCUCUAAGCCAUGGAUAUGCUUGAUCUAUCCAAUCAAGAUAUGGCGUCGUGUACGUGGGCCUAAUGACGGGACACACCCCAAAAGCCAUCUGAUCCUGUACGAUUUCCAUAAUCUGAUUCCUCAACAUGACGUUGGGGUCAUAUGGAAUUCCCAUAGGCUGGUUAACCGGUUGAUUUGCAUGAGGCCUGAUGUUUGGUCCUUGAUUGACAACAAAGUUACCAUGAUUAGGGCCAUUACUAUUAGCCUGAACAUCUAUUCCUUCAUUAAAACGUGGGGUAUUCUGUCCAUUGUUUAAGACAUUAUCUCUUAUGUUUGGAUUACCCUCUAAGUUAGGCGUACCACCAUCAUUGUUUUGAUUUGGCACUGCAGUACCCCCUUGGUUUGAAGUAGAGGGACCAGAAAGUGGUUCUAUCCCUUGAUUCGGAUUUAGGACUGAGGAAUUAUGUCCUACAAUUGUCUUAGUUUGAAAGUGAUUUGCGAGAGGUACAACCGGUUGACAUAUUUGGCCUACUAACUUAUUCAUCGUUUCGUUCAAAGUGUUUAGUUGUUUGGCCAUGUUGUCAUAAUGUGCAUUCCCGUUUUGGGUAAAUCUUUCUAUAUUAUGAAUACUUCGAAGAUUUACCUGUUCAACAACGUCUUGUGUGAGUUCUCCAAGUAAUGCACGCAUGGUUCGAGGACUCAACUUCGUCAUUGGUUCGUAACGACUGUUACUGCUCUGAUUCUGUCCAUCUAUUCGUGGAGAGGCAUGUUGCUCCUCAUAUCGCUCAAUCACAGACUGGACUCCUCCCCGACUUGCUGCUUCCUUAUCGGAUCUCUGAGUCAUAUUGUUUCACCUUUUGUACUUUUAACACCAAACACCACUGUCCCACUGGGCGUGUCAAAUUGUUUCGCGCGGGUUAGUAGCUAACAAUUAAAAGGGAUCAGACGAUUGUGUAAGGGACAAACCUCUUGAGACAAAGUCCCAAAAAGGGGUGUUCUUUUAUUGGUGAUGACUUUACAAUUGGAAAUUAAAAACAGAAUGCCUCCAAGGGGCGCAAGCACACGAGUUACUAAAAAAAGUGUUUAAGUCUAAGCUAAGGAAAUUAAAAUUACAUGUUCUCUGUUCGAGAGUUUUUGAUUCGGUCCUUUGCUCUAUGUCUUUUCUCCCUUUUAUACUUCAUGGACGAUCUCGUUGUGAUCGACCGCCUAAAAACUGCUUGAUCGUUCUGCAACUGCCCACUUUCCUCAUAAUGCCAGCUUGUCAUGAAAACUGUCUUAUUUAACUGCUGCCAUUACUCUUCGUCGUUCAACCAUUUUCGAUUGAAUUUCUUGAAUCGUGGAACGUGAUGGGGCUGCUUUAAUAACUGCUUUGAUAACUGCACUUCUUGAUAACCACAACGCUUUAUAUUUGUUAAGACUUUGGGCGACUUGAAGGUUUUGGCGAGAAUAGAGUAAUAGCUCUGGGCGACUGCAUGACACUCCAUUCGCACAGAUUCUUUGCGACUUGCAAUCUUGGGCGAUAGUAUUACCACGUUCUUGGGCCUCCCUAUUUGGGCCUUCAUCUUGAAUUGUUUGAUUAGGUUUCGUUCUUUGGGCUAUCUGAUUUGGAGAUUCUCUAAUUGGGCUUCAUUCCUUAGGCCGUUCGAUUUGGGCUAAAUUUUUAUGUGUCAACAACAUCAUAACAAAAUUCAUCUGCUCGGUAGCGGAGCCAACAUUUUAUAUCGUGGGGUAAAAAAUCUAAAAUGUUAAAACCAACCAAAUCGAGCAAAUUUCACUUUAUCUAUAAUGUCACCAACAGUUCUCCAUGAUUUUAACAAAAAUGAUAAAUAAAAUAAGGAUUGCUACUUAAAUUCGUUAACCUUAGGAAGAAUUUCAAACAUUCUACCAAAAUCAAUUGCAACAUCAAAAU